UCUGGAAAACAGUAUGGAGGUUCCUCAAAAAUUAAAAGUAGAACUACCCUGUGAGCCAGCAAUUGAUCUACUAGGUAUAAACCCAAAGGACACAAAUAUACAGAUUCAAACGGAUACAUGCACCCCUAUGUUUAUAGCAACAUUAUCUCCAAUACUCAAAUAAUUAAAACAGCCCAAAUGUCCACUGAUCGAUGAACGGGUAAGGAAAUGUGAUAUAUAUACACAAUGGAAUAUUACUCAGCCAUCAAAAAUAAUGAAAUCUUGUGAUUUUUCAAGGACAUGGAUGAUACUAGAGGGUAUUAUAAAUGGAAUAAGUCACUGAGAGAAAGACAAAUACCAUGUUAUUUCACUUAUACAUAGAAUUUUAGAAACUAAACAAGCCAGUAAAACAAAAGCGACCCCAGAGUUGUCACUAAUCCAGACUUUCAGGUAUACUAUAAAACUGGUGAUCAAGGCUAUAUGUUACUGACACAAAAACAGACACAUAGAUCAAUGGAAUAGAAUAGAAAACCCAGAAAUUGACACACAACUGUAUGAUCAACUAAUCUUAAGCAAAGCAGGAAAAGAAUAUCCAGUGG